UAGGCUGCAACUCGCCUACAUGAAGUUGGAAUCGCUAGUAAUCGCGAAUCAGAAUGUCGCGGUGAAUACGUUCCCGGGCCUUGUACACACCGCCCGUCACACCAUGAGAGUCUGUAACACCCAAAGCCGGUGGGAUAACCUUUAUAGGAGUCAGCCGUCUAAGGUAGGACAGAUGAUUAGGGUGAAGUCGUAACAAGGUACC
rnacentral:rRNA from 1 species